rnacentral:rRNA from 1 species
UACGUAGGGUGCGAGCGUUGUCCGGAAUUAUUGGGCGUAAAGAGCUCGUAGGCGGUGUGUCACGUCGGCCGUGAAAACCUGGGGCUUAACUCUGGGCGUGCGGUCGAUACGGGCAUGCUUGAGUUCGGUAGGGGAGAUCGGAAUUCCUGGUGUAGCGGUGAAAUGCGCAGAUAUCAGGAGGAACACCGGUGGCGAAGGCGGAUCUCUGGGCCGAUACUGACGCUGAGGAGCGAAAGCGUGGGGAGCGAACAGG